rnacentral:tRNA from 1 species
AAAGCUUUAAGUUAAUAAAACUAUUAACCUUCAAAGUUAAAAAUACAUAAUUAUGUAAGCUUUA